rnacentral:rRNA from 1 species
CAACGCCGCGUGGAGGAUGAAAUCCCUUGGGAUGUAAACUCCUUUCGAUAGGGAAGAUAAUGACGGUACCUAUAGAAGAAAGCCCCCGGCUAAACUUCGUGC